AGUGGGGAAUAUUGGACAAUGGGCGAAAGCCUGAUCCAGCCAUGCCGCGUGUGUGAAGAAGGUCUUCGGAUUGUAAAGCACUUUAAGUUGGGAGGAAGGGUACUUACCUAAUACGUGAGUAUUUUGACGUUACCGACAGAAUAAGCACCGGCUAACUCUGUGCCAGCAGCCGCGGUAAUACAGAGGGUGCAAGCGUUAAUCGGAAUUACUGGGCGUAAAGCGCGCGUAGGUGGUUUGUUAAGUUGGAUGUGAAAUCCCCGGGCUCAACCUGGGAACUGCAUCCAAAACUGGCAAGCUAGAGUAUGGUAGAGGGUGGUGGAAUUUCCUGUGUAGCGGUGAAAUGCGUAGAUAUAGGAAGGAACACCAGUGGCGAAGGCGACCACCUGGACUGAUACUGACACUGAGGUGCGAAAGCGUGGGGAGCAAA
rnacentral:rRNA from 1 species